UACGUAGGGUGCGAGCGUUAAUCGGAAUUACUGGGCGUAAAGCGUGCGCAGGCGGUUCGUUAAGUCAGAUGUGAAAGCCCCGGGCUCAACCUGGGAACUGCAUUUGAAACUGGCGGGCUUGAGUAUGGCAGAGGGGGGUGGAAUUCCGCGUGUAGCAGCGAAAUGCGUAGAGAUGCGGAGGAACACCGAUGGCGAAGGCAGCCCCCUGGGUCGACACUGACGCUCAGGCACGAAAGCGUGGGGAGCAAACAGG
rnacentral:rRNA from 1 species